GUGCUGGCUUUGGCAGCACACAUACUAAAACUGAAAAGAUACAUAGGUGAUUAGCAUGACUCUGGUGUAAGAAUGACAUGAGAACUCAUGUAUUCCAUAAUUUCUAA